UACGGAGGAUCCGAGCGUUAUCCGGAUUUAUUGGGCUUAAAGGGAGCGUAGGCGGGUUGUUAAGUCAGUUGUGAAAGUUUGCGGCUCAACCGUAAAAUUGCAGUUGAUACUGGCAUCCUUGAGUACAGUAGAGGUAGGCGGAAUGCGCGGUGUAGCGGUGAAAUGCAUAGAUAUCGCGCAGAACCCCGAUUGCGAAGGCAGCCUGCCGGCCCCACACUGACGCUGAGGCACGAAAGCGUGGGUAUCGAACAGG
rnacentral:rRNA from 1 species